AUUGAACGCUGGCGGCAGGCCUAACACAUGCAAGUCGAACGAGUGGCGGACGGGUGAGUAAUGUCUGGGACACUGCCCGAUGGAGGGGGAUAACUACUGGAAACGGUUGCUAAUACCGCAUACCAUCGGAUGUGCCCAUAUGGGAUUAGCUAGUAGGUGGGGUAACGGCUCACCUAGGCGACGAUCCCUAGCUGGUCUGAGAGGAUGACCAGCCACACUGGAACUGAGACACGGCCCAGACUCCUACGGGAGGCAGCAGUGGGGAAUAUUGCACAAUGGGCGCAAGCCUGAUGCAGCCAUGCCGCGUGUAUGAAGAAGGCCUUAGGGUUGUAAAGUACUUUCAGCGAGGAGGCGUUACCCGCAGAAGAAGCACCGGCUAACUCCGUGCCAGCAGCCGCGGUAAUAC
rnacentral:rRNA from 1 species